rnacentral:rRNA from 1 species
UACGAAGGGGGCUAGCGUUGCUCGGAAUUACUGGGCGUAAAGGGUGCGUAGGCGGGUCUUUAAGUCAGAGGUGAAAUCCUGGAGCUCAACUCCAGAACUGCCUUUGAUACUGAGGAUCUUGAGUUCGGGAGAGGUGAGUGGAACUGCGAGUGUAGAGGUGAAAUUCGUAGAUAUUCGCAAGAACACCAGUGGCGAAGGCGGCUCACUGGCCUGAUACUGACGCUGAGGCACGAAAGCGUGGGGAGCAAACAGG